rnacentral:rRNA from 1 species
CCUACGGGAGGCAGCAGUGGGGGAUAUUGCACAAUGGGGGGAACCCUGAUGCAGCGACGCCGCGUGGGUGAAGAAGCGCCUCGGCGCGUAAAGCCCUGUCAGCAGGGAAGAAAAUGACGGUACCUGAAGAAGAAGCUCCGGGUAAUUACGUGCCAGCAGCCGCGGGAAUACGGAGGGGGCAAGCGUUAUCCGGAUUUACUGGGUGUAAAGGGGGCGAAGGGGGUGUGGCAAGCAAGGAGUGAAGGCCGGGGGCCCAACCCGGGGAAUGUUCUUGAAACUGGGUGGUUUGAGGGCAGUAGGGGCAGGCGGAAUUCCUGGUGUAGCGGUGAAAUGCGUAGAUAUCAGGAGGAACACCGGUGGCGAAGGCGGCCCGCUGGACUGCAACUGACGUUGAGGCCCGAAAGCGUGGGGAGCAAACAGGAUUAGAUACCCCUGUAGUC